rnacentral:rRNA from 1 species
GACGAACGCUAGCGGCAGGCUUAAUACAUGCAAGUCGAGGGGCAGCAUGAAGUAGCAGUACUGUGAUGGCGAGCGGCAAACGUGUGCGGAACACGUACACCACCUUCCUUUAAGUGGGGAAUAGUCAAGAGACAUGGGGUAAAAUACCCCAUAACACAACGAAGUGGCGUCACUUUGUUGUAAUAGUUUCGGCGCUUAAUGAUGGGUGUGCGUAUGAUUAAAUAGGUGGUGAGGUACCUGUUCACCAAGUCUACGAUCAGUAGCUCAUGUGAGGGCAUGAGCAGCCACAGGGGGACUGGGACAAUGGCCAGUGUGCUACGGCAGGCACCAGUAAGGAAUAUUGCUCAAUGGACGAAAGCCUGAUCCACCCAUGCCGCGUGAAGGAAUAACGUCUUCUGGAUGGCAAACUUCUUUUAUAAGGGACGAAAAGAGGUUUUUGUAGACUCCUUGACGGUACCAGAUAAAUAAGCACCGGCUAACUCCGUG